AAACAUUAGGGAAGAAAGAUGGCUUGACUUUGUGGAAGAGACAGCCAGACUUUGGGGAGAAGAAAAGAAGACAGCUUGACUUUGGGGAAGACUACCUGCCCUUCAUGUCCCCUCUCCAGCUCCUCUCUCUGCUGAGAACCAUUUUCACUACUCAAUGAUGUCCUCCGCCUUUACCAUCCUUCCAGUGUCUGUGUGACCUCAUUCUUCUAGGACAACAGACAAGAGCUCGGGACCCACCAAGUGCAGAUUGUCAGUACAGACCCUCCAAGAAGCACCAAGGCAGAAGACAGAAAGGUAGGAUACAAAAUUCAGAAAAUUAAUGGAGGAAAUGCCUAUGAAGAAUAAAGGAGAGGGAACAUAAGACACACAGUGUCUUCAAAAUGCAAUGCAAAUCUCACACUUGUGAAAGGAGAGGAAAAGGAGAGAGAAGAAUCUUGGACUACAAAUAAGUUUUAAGAAAGGUUUAAAUAGACCAAUAUCAGAUCGUUAAGCUAAAGUCACCCAGGAGGACUGUGGACUAUUUGAACGGACUCACACUAAUAACUCCAUUGUGUUCAGUCAUUGAUUAGAACAGCCUGCGGGAAGAUUGGCCUAAGCAUGAACACAGUAAUAGAUCAGAUACAGCUGAGGCCAUCAGUGAACAAUGUUCCCAGCUGUGGGAAAUGUGAGCAGCUCAUUUCCAUGACUGCCUCAUUAGUAAUUCUGAAAACCAGAUUUCCUCUAUGACUUUUAAUUAGAGGUAAACCAGACCUCACCAAGCCAUAAAACUUUAUUUCUAUGCAGAAUGCUUUCAUCCAUUUCUAAAGCAAAGAUGCUUACCUGGUAUUCAUUAUAUAGUUGGAUCAUUAUAUAGUUGGAUUUUUUUAACUUGCAGUAACUCAACUAUUGUUCUUCAAUCAGUCUUACUGCUAAAUUCAAUAGAAGAAAACUGAAACUGGAUCCCUUCCUUACAGCUUAUACAAAAAUCAAUUCAAGAUGGUUUAAAGACUUAAAUGUAAGACCUAAAACCAUAAAAACCCUAGAAGAAAACCUAGGCAGUGUCAUUUGGGACAUGGGCAUGGGCAAAUACUUCAUGACUAAAACAACAAAAGCAGUGGCAACAAAAGCCAAAACUGACAAAUGGGACAAUGUUCCAUUUGUCAAUUUUGACAAAUGUUUGACAAAUGUUCUUUUGCACAGCAAAAUAAACUAUCAUCAGAGUGAACCGGCAACCUACAGAAAGGGAGAAAAUUUUUGCAAUGUAUCCACUUGACAAAGGGCUAAUAUUCAGAAUCUAGAAAGAACUUAGAUAAAUUUACAAGAAAAAAACAACCCCAUUAAAAAGUGGGCAAAGAAUAUGAACAGACACUUUUCAAAAGAAGACAUUUAUACAGCCAACAAGCAUAUGAAUAAAAGCUCAUGAUCACUGCUUAUUAGAGAAAUGCAAAUCAAAACCACAAUGAGAUACCAUCUCACACCAGUUAGAAUGGAGGCCAUUAAAAAGUCAGGAAACAACAGAUGCUGGAGAGGAUGUGGAGAAAUAGGAACACUUAUACACUGUUGAUGGGAGUGUAAAUUAGUUCAACCAUUGUGGAAGACAGCAUGGUGAUUCCUCAAGGAUCUAGAACCAGAAAUACCAUUUGACCCAACAAUCCCAUAACUGGGUAUAUACCCAAAGGAUUAUAAAUCAUUCUACUGUAAAGACACAUGCACAUGUAUGUUUAUUGCAACACUGUUCACAAUAGAAAAGACUUGGAACCAACCCAAAUGCCCAUCAAUAAUAGAUUGGAUAAAGAAAAUGUGGCACAUAUACACCAUGGAAUACUAUGCAGCCAUAAAAAAGGAUGGGUUCAUGUCCUUUGCAGGGCCACGGAUGAAGCUGGAAACCAUCAUUCUCAGCAAAACAACACAGAAACAGAAAAG
rnacentral:lncRNA from 1 species